CUGUCCCCUCAGGUGCCAAUCUUUAAAAUAAAAUUUUUUAAAAAUGAGCGUAUGCAAAAAUAGUGAAAUCUGAGUAAAGUCUGUCGUCUGGUUCACUGUAUUGUUCCAAUCAAUUUUCUUGUUGUGAUAAUACACCAUGAUUAUGUUGGGGGAGGCUGGGUAAUGGGCACAUGGGACCUCUCUGGACUGUUUUUCCAACUUUUUGUGAGUUUACAAUUAUUUCAAAAUUAAAAAGUUCUAAAAGCUUAGCACAUCUCAAACAACAUAAACCAAAAACAAAGGUCAAUUAUACCCAGACAAAUCAUAAUCAAACUGCUGAUAAUCAGAGGUAAAGAAAACAAAUCUCAAAAUUAAAAAUGAAAAAAUAUUUUGAGUAACUGUUCAUGCCAGACACUGCUUUAGGUCCUUUACUUGUGUCUUAUUACUCCGACAAUUCCUAUUAUUUAGGAGUUAUGCUCUCCAUUUUCAAGAUGAGAGCACUGACUCAGAAAGAACACACAUCUGCUAAGCGGCAGUAAGGGAUUUAGGCCCAGGUCCACUGUAUUGAGCGAAGUCCAAUCAUUUCGUAUAUGCGCCCAAACAUUUUGCACACACCUUCCUAACUAAGCAAGGACAGAGUGUACAUACUGAGCAUGAGCAUAUUCCUUACUGUUUUAGUAUAAAGUCAGAGGAAUAUAAUGUGUUUCUCCUUUCUAGGCUACGUCAUUUCAACUAUUAAAAUAGAAAAAAUUAUAAUGUUCAAGACAAUUUGUACCAAAUUAAGGUACGUUAGGUUACAAACAACAGUAAAUGACUCUGGAUAAUUGGAGAAAGCAAGCAUUUAUUUAAGGGUUAGGAGGGAAGCUCAGCGAAUUAAAGUAAUAGUCAAAACAGCCAGUUCUUUCCAAAAAGAGGAAUUGAAGCAAGUCCGGUGGUAGAGGCUCCUAGACGUAAAUGUGAGUUGCAGACAAUGGAAAACUCACUACUAACCCCCACAAGCUCUAUGUCUUCUGUUUUAAUUUUCCAAGCGAUCAGUACAGAUUGGUCCAACACUCAUCGAUGUUUACCCCUAGGGUCAGUCAUGGAAGUCAAGCAGUGAAGCAAUGACUUUGCUUGGCUAGUCUGACUUACUUGCCCACAUAUUUGGCCAGAAGGUAGAGUCUCCUAUCAAAAGAAGAAGGAAAAAGUGCAAGGCAGAUGAAAGCAAAAGCAACUGUAAUUCGCCUCUUGGUGUCUAUGAACUUGUGCACACGCAGGUGCACAUACACUUCUUAUGCAUACAUAUCUAUGAGGAAGGAUGGAACACAGAACAGUUUCAAGAUAAUCAAAUAUGUAUAUAAACAGGUGUCCCAAAUGCCAUAGUGCAGUUUUAAGCUUUAAUAAUUUCAGAAGGGUAAAAGCUACAAAUUAUAGAGAUCCUCAUUUGAGACUUGAAUUGUUUUAAUUUCCCUUCUCCUGUAGAGUUUUGAGAAUUGUUAUAAGACUUUUUCAAUUUCCAUUGUUUGUUUCUGUCCUUCUGAUUGAAGACGUCAGAGUGACAAACAAAAAUUGAAAUUUAUCUUUGAAAAUACAGUGCAAAUGACACGCAGAUUAUAUUUUUCAGAAGUUGAUAGCUUUUACACGUCCAAAGUGAUUAAGCUUAAAACUGCACUAUGGCAUUUGGGACACCUGUUUAUAUACAUAUUUGAUUAUCUUGAAACUGUUCUGUGUUCCAUCCUUCCUCAUAGAUAUGUAUGCAUAAGAAGUGUAUGUGCACCUGCGUGUGCACAAGUUCACAGACACCAAGAGGUGAAUUACAGUUGCUUUUGCUUUCAUCUGCCUUGCACUUUUUCCUUCUUUGGGGCACCUGUAUGUAUACAUGAUUUAUUAUAUGUUCCAUCCUUCCUAACAUGACUGUAUAAGAAGUGUUUGUGUGCUUCCAUGUGCAUAAGCCGAGAGGCGCCAAGGGGUGAGUUACAGUUGCCUUUGGUUUCAUUCUUUUCCUCUCUUAAUAAGAAAGUGCGCCCUCCAGUCGAAUAACUGGGCAAGUGAGUAUAUGAGAGGAAGAUAUGGGAAGAGGUAUAUUGUUCAUAUAAAGAAAAGGAUAUAGAAGAAUGCGUAAAAUUGUUAAUAAAGAACAUUUAAGGGAAAUGUGUUGGGAUGAGUGCAGGAAAGAAGGUGUAUUACAAUCUGUACUAUUGAAAUUCUGUAGUGUUCACAUUCAUGCAUCAAGCAUGUAUUCAUGGAUGUUAUAUGUGGGGGAGAAUAAUGAAGUUGGACAGAGUGAAAGUCAGUAUGUGAGCUGAAGAGUAAGACUAUGAGCCAGGUGUUUGAGCCUGCAACAAAUGAAAGUGACUUGAGAAGAAUGAAGUAGAUCUCAAAGUGAGAAAAGAAAUUAGAAUAGCCUUUUAAACCCUCUGUCAAUUUAGCAGUCUCCUCCCCUAAAUUUCUGCCCGGUUGUCAUCGAUCUUCUGUUCCACAGCUGAUUGCUCUAGGUAUGAGAAAUUUGCUUCCCGUGGUACUAACAUGUCUCUACCUAUUCUGUCUCUUCUCCACAAGGCAAUCGUGCAGUUAUUUUCGGUGGCUGCUGACUCCCUGAGGGGGGUGAGCAAGAAAGUCUUUCCAGAGGUCUCCUGAGAAUGUAGUAUUCCCAGUAUUCCUUGGGCUCCUCACAGCUAUAUGUAGAUAUUUUCUCAAGAGCUGGGCACCAUGUUUUCUCAGGGCAACUGGGAGCAGCUACAGAGGAUCGGGUGCAUCUAUCUUCAGGCCAGCCCUUACUCGAUGCUGUGGGGCUCAUGAGAAUUGUGGUGGUCUCAUCUGCCUGUAGGAGUGUGCUGGACACCAUCAUUUGAAAUCUUCAGGCCAAUGGGUCUGUGUUGCUGUGAGAAAACGAAAACAGAGAAGGAGAUCCAUUCAAUGAGGAAGUCAGCUUUUCUUAUUUUAGUGACAAGUGUUCAGCCACUCUCAGGAUAUCCUACAUGAUUUAGAAAAUUCAGGACAAUUUCCAGGUUCCAUUCUAACUGUGACUUCUGGAGCAUGGGAGAUGAGCUUUUCAUUUGUCCCAUUAACUAAAAAGACAUACUCUCAUUUAUUGCAGGAUGAACCUAGCUUUGGAAUGUCUAUGUUUAACUCUUCUACUGGUCACUUAGAACAAGAUUCUUCACACUAUAACAGGAAUAUUAAGCUGGAAGAAUUAUCCACAUUCAUAAAAAGAUAUGGGGGUCCUUUUGGGAAGCAACACAUUAAAUUAAAAGUUGCCAGAAAUGGUCCAUGACAGAAGGGUAGCUCUAUCCCCCUCCUUUCCCAUUUAUACCUGAGACUUUUGAGGAAGCAGCCAGUACUACUGGCUCCUGGAAUUUACCAAGGGAAAUUUUUCCCAGAAAUACAAGGAAAGGAUUCCACUAGUU
rnacentral:lncRNA from 1 species